GACAAACGCUGGCGGCGUGCGUAACACAUGCAAGUCGAACGCACCGGUCUUCGGAGCGGUGAGUGGCGGACGGGUGAGGAACACGUGGAUGACCUGUCCCGACGUGGGGGAUACCUUUCAGAAAUGGGGGUUAAUCCCGCAUACGUCCGGAGCUUCACGCUUCGGGGAAAGCCUUUAGGCAACCGAGGGCGCGGUGGGAGGGGUCCGCGGCCGAUUAGCUAGUUGGUGGGGUAAGAGCCUACCAAGGCUGCGAUCGGUAGCUGGUCUGAGAGGAUGA
rnacentral:rRNA from 1 species